rnacentral:tRNA from 3 species
GCCCAAGUGGCGGAAUGGUAGACGCAGGGGAUUCAAAAUCCCCCGAUGGAAACAUCAUGUCGGUUCGAGUCCGACCUUGGGUACCA